rnacentral:lncRNA from 1 species
GAAUUUCCAGCCUUUUCGGCUCAUACUUCAUAAUUCAAUGAAACUUCGCACAAAUCGAUGUGGAACCAAUAUAAUAAAGGCAUGGUUGUGCCAUGGCAUUUCAAAAAAACUUGGAAUGCACUGGGUUCAAACGCAUUUGAAUCCUUUUUGCACCUAAACUGUUGUUUUUGCCUAUUUUGUCAAUUGGAAAAAAAAUAUAAUAAUAGGAAAUUUUAUCCGGAAAAAUCUGAAAACCUGCAUGGGCUCUUUAUUUGUCAAUACCUGUCAAAAAAAAAAUCAAACCAAAAUGAAUUUGUGA